GCGAUGGUGGUGGAAUUGGUAGACACGCUAGUCUCAGAAGCUAGUGCCUCACGGUGUGCGGGUUCAAGUCCCGCCCUUCGCA
rnacentral:tRNA from 1 species